GAUGAACGCUGGCGGCGUGCCUAAUACAUGCAAGUCGAGCGAACGGACGAGAAGCUUGCUUCUCUGAUGUUAGCGGCGGACGGGUGAGUAACACGUGGAUAACCUACCUAUAAGACUGGGAUAACUUCGGGAAACCGGAGCUAAUACCGGAUAAUAUUUUGAACCGCAUGAUUCAAAAGUGAAAGACGGUCUUGCUGUCACUUAUAGAUGGAUCCGCGCUGCAUUAGCUAGUUGGUAAGGUAACGGCUUACCAAGGCAACGAUGCAUAGCCGACCUGAGAGGAUGAUCGGCCACACUGGAACUGAGACACGGUCCAGACUCCUACGGGAGGCAGCAGUAGGGAAUCUUCCGCAAUGGGCGAAAGCCUGACGGAGCAACGCCGCGUGAGUGAUGAAGGUCUUCGGAUCGUAAAACUCUGUUAUUAGGGAAGAACAUAUGUGUAAGUAACUGUGCACAUCUUGACGGUACCUAAUCAGAAAGCCACGGCUAACUACGUG
rnacentral:rRNA from 1 species